GCCUCUGUAGCAUAGUAGUAUUGCGGCGGAUUCGUAAUCCGCAGGUCGCGUGUGCAACUCACGCCAGAGGCU
rnacentral:tRNA from 1 species